rnacentral:rRNA from 1 species
AGGGUUCAAUUCUGGCUCAGGAUGAACGCUAGCGACAGGCUUAACACAUGCAAGUCGAGGGGCAGCGCGGAGGUAGCAAUACUCCGGCGGCGACCGGCGCACUGGUGAGUAACACGUAUGCGACCUGCCCCGGACAGGGGGAUAAACCCGGGAAACUGGGCCUAAUACCCCAUAUGCCUUGAGGCUGCAUGGUCUCGAGGUGAAAGAUCCGUCGGUCCGGGAUGGGCAUGCGGCGCAUUAGCUGGUUGGCGGGGCAACGGCCCACCAAGGCGACGAUGCGUAGGGGUUCUGAGAGGAAGGUCCCCCACACUGGUACUGAGACACGGACCAGACUCCUACGGGAGGCAGCAGUGAGGAAUAUUGGUCAAUGGACGGUAGUCUGAACCAGCCAAGUCGCCGUGCGGGAUGAAGGCCCUCCGGGUCGUAAACCGCUUUAGCCGGGGAGUAACGUGCGGAACGUGUUCCGCAGUGAGAGUACCCGGAGAAUAAGCAUCGGCUAACUCCGUGCCAGCAGCUGC